CUCCAGGAAUACUUGAUGGACAUGAUUUCCUACAGGCAAAAGGAAAUAAACAGCUCUGCAUACGUAAAGGGCUGAGGUCAUUGCCCCUUGGUGUUUCUCACCUGGCAGGAGAGAGGAGGGGCUGUAGAAUUUAGCAGGGAGACAAUGAUGGUGACUCAGUGCUGAAAGUUUCCCGCAAGCAGACACAGGCCACUUUCCCUGUGUCUACUCACAAGCUCACCCAAGAAAGAGCCUAUGCCUUCGGGGCUCAUCUCCUCCCUGUCAUCUCUCUCCUCACAACUAAAAGGAAGGCCUAGAACAGCUCCACUCAGGGAAUGAGUGCAGGAGAAUCACCAGGACAUGGUGGGCCAAUGCAGAUUUGGAUUCAGUAGCUCCUGGGUGGUAGGACCUCACAGUCUGCAUCUCUACUAAACUCCAGCUCCUGGUGACCUUGAAUCUACUUUCUGCUGCUGAGAAUUUACCUAUUUUGGAUGCUUCAUGAGACGAUUCCUCUUAGCAAAAGGGCACUGUGUACCCUCCAAGGCUGGAAAUGAUAGGUUUUCGGCGAGGAGUGAAAAUAUUGUGCUGACAGCCCUUUGCCUGUGUAGAGCAGGGUUGUUUACUCGCGCUGGAGCACAGCUUUAUUGAAGCAGAGAGUCAUGGUCCCAUCAUCAGGGUUGCCUAGCAACCAGUCUACGCCACUCCACAGAGUUUCAGAAUGGGCUGGACCACAAGUACCCACUUUGGGGGAUUUCCAGUGACAGUCCUACUCUCACUCCAUCACAUCGCUUCUAAAAUCUGAGUCACAUGGUUCAAAUUUCACAGUACAAAGUGUGUUCUUCAGAUCUGGGGUUCUCUCCAAAAUGGAUAAUCAUUAUUGAUUUUGUAAUGCAAUGCCAAGACCAUCAGUAAGUUUUUAUUUUACACGGCUCACUGUGGCUUUGACCUCCCAUGCUGAAGCGAUCCUCCUAUCUCAACCUCUCAAGUAGCUGGAAGCACAGGCAUGCACCACCACACCUGGCUAAUUUUUUUCUUCCUUUUUUAAAGAGACAGUCUUGCCAUGUUGCCCAGGCCCUGUUGACCAGGAAAAAAAAAAGUUUUUUUUCUUUUUUAAAGAAAGAAAAUAAAAGAGACUGAGAAACCACAGAAAUAAAGAAGCGCUGAUGACAAUGCCUGCUUGCUGAUGGUUACGAUGAUCAUAGCAGUGUGCAUUUUGUAUGCAUGAAGCCUGCGACUAAAUAAACGUGUGGGGAAAUAUUUGUAAGGAAAUAAGCUAUUAAUAAAAUAAGCUAAAAUCACAGUUGCUGGACUAUGACUGAUUUUUCCCCUUUCUCUCAUUUAAAAUUAAAUAUUUGUAUGACUUGUAUAAUAGAAAAAUACAUGUAUUCAAUCUUAAAAAGAUAUUCUUAUUUUACACUUUACGGGACAAAAGAGGUUGUAGGUUGGAAUGGUUCAGUCCCCUUGUGACAACUCAAAAACAGAGACCUUAAGCCUUUCUCAACCAAUGUUGCGGGACAAGCAGGCGUGUGAGGCGACAAUGCCAUUAGGGUAUUUUUUGGAAAAAUUUUAGUGUGAGAGACAAAAGCCAAAUUCAAACUGGCCUGAGCCAAAAUAGGUAGGAAAGGGAGAAGCGGAGACAGGGAGGAAGAAAGAGAGAGAACAGAAAGAAAAAGGGAGAAAUGUCGAAAGGCAAAAUUACAACACAUUUAGUUAAAUGAUUGAAUUGGUUUUUAUUUGUAAUUCAUGAAUUGGGGCAGCAUCUCCUCUAAAACUUUAGGAAAAGUGCUCUGAUGAGCUAAACAGAGAAGCUUGGCUUUAUAGGCAGAAAAGGGUGAAGAAAGCAGACACAGGGAACAAAAAGCAGAUUGGUAAGCUCAGGUUACUUCAGGUUACUUUCCUUAUAAAGGUUAAAGUAGAGGGGACUUCCUUAUCAUGCUGGCUACAACUGGCCUGUUUGGGGAUUUGCAUAUUAUCUCUCUCUGUCUUGAGUUCUGGGAAGGUCUGAUGACUUAGUUUCAGUUUGGUGAUAUGGAACUUAGCAUGAGUGACUCCAUCUUGGUUUGGUCUACUGGGGCCUCCUGCAGGAGCUCAGCCCAAAUCAGUGACCUCCUAUAAAUUUCAUUUAAUAGAAAAGGAAGGAAGGAAGGAAGGAAGGAAGGAAGGAAGGAAGGAAGGAAGGAAGGGAGGGAGGGAGGGAGGGAGGGAGGGAGGAAGGGAGGAAAGAAGGAAGGAAAGAAAGAAAGUUGCUUAUAAGUUGCUUAUAACUAAAAAGACCAGCUGGACCCAGGAGCUCUGAGGUUGCUUUCAGGCCUCUGUCCAUCUCUUAGUUUUCCAUCCUCAGACAGGCUCUGCCCUGCCUUACAGUCUAGCAUUGUUGGCCAAAGGUGACUGACUGGCCCAGCUUGGGCUAUAUGUCCUUCCCUGUGGCCAGAGAGAUGUGUCUCUGUGAUGGCCAGGCUUGGGUCACGUACUCCCUCCCCUACCAGAAUCACAUGAAAAGAGGGAGGAAGAGCCGCUUUCCACCAAAGGAAACUGAAGUGCUAUUGUCAGAGGGGUUGCUGGGCAGACCAAAAAGAUGACAAUAUCUGCUCCAAUCGCUCGGGUUGUUGGUGCUUGGCAGAUUUGCCCCUACGUCACUUUUCAGAUGUGGAUAAGACUGAAGGUGACCACAGGCUUCCGAGAGGAAAGCUGCCAAUGGGGGUGUGAGAGGAGGGGGAAUUCUUACUCACCAAGGUUAACACUGUGCACACUGUUCUCCGAGGAAGUGGGAAUUUCCACAUGGUGAGUUCCCUUCCCUGUACAAUGAAUUACUAUCUUGAUGAGAAACCCGUGGGCAGCUGGUUGAGAAGAGAAAGGUAUUCUCUGAAUGAGAGGGAAUUUACCACCUUCCUUUCAAUGGUGACAGUUUUUUCUGGUGUCACCGCAGGGUGUGGAUUGAUUCAUAUACAAAUAUACAUAUCUACAUAGAUGCCAUUCUGCUAGCCUCUGCAAAAUGCAUGCCUGGAGACCAUUUCUGCUGCCUAGGAGAUGUCAACUUUGUCACCACCACUCUCUCUCCACCACUCCCACACCCUGCAGGGGCCAGGUGUGUGGGUGGGGAGCUCCCCAGCUGGAGGCCAGAUUAGAGGUCUCUGUGUGGUGGGGAUGGGGAGGAUGGGGUGGGAAUGAGGUGGUAGGCCACUGGCAGUGGUCCAAGUUCCAUCCAGGAUCUGUCCUAGGCCUCUCCCCAGGCUGUCGCUUCCACCAUUGAAUUUCUAACCUGGAUCUCUAAGGUUAUGAAUAUCUCAUUCCCGCAUCCUGGGGUGCUCAGACAUGUCUCCCCUGAGUCUCUAGCUGGGCUCGUGGCUGUGAUCAUUGUCCUCAGAGUUCCAUCCUCCCAACAAAGGGACAGAAGAAACACAGGGCCCACUUUUCUGGAUUCUGAGUUGGAGCCAAGAAAUUCUAUCUGCUGCUUCCUUCCUGUUGAAUUAUCCCCCAAGGACCCCUUAGUCCCUCCAGUCUCCUCCAGAGGCCUAUAGCUGCCCCAGCUCCCCAUGAUGGAUACCUGGCUCUUUCCUACCCAGAGGAAAACGCAGGCCCUUCCCCAGCCCUGCACUGAACUCCUGUGAGUGGCUGAGGAGAUGAGGAGGUGUGAAGAGUGAGUGUGUUGGGGAGGGAGGGGUCCCCUGCCACCAGGUACCAAGGACUUCUGCCAGAUCACCAGAACUGACACCUGGUUCCACCGGCCAGCUGUGAAGUGUCGGCCCUGACAUCAACAGCUGACCUCCCACAGGGCCUAAGGAAACGGAAUUGUGGGUAAAUGAAACAUUUUAUUUAUUUUAUUUUGUUUUAUUUUUAUAAAUUUUUGGGGAGACAGUUUUGCUAUGUUGCCAAGGCUGGGCUUGAUCUCCUGACCUUAAGUGAUCCUCCUACCUUGGCCUCCUGUGCUGAGAUUACAGGUGUGAAUCACCAUGCCUGGCCAAGAAGUGAAUUUGUAAAAGACAUGAGGAAAGGCCUGGUGGAAAGCUAACAGUGAAAAAAAUUUUCAAUACUUGCUAUAGAAACUAAAGAAACUCACAAUAUUUUGCUCUCUAUUGGAUCAUUUCCAUCAACAUACAAAUAAAUACCUGUUAUUUUUUCCAUCUUUAAAAAAAUGCCUUCAUUAUAAGUGAUUCAACAAAUUAAUAAACGAGAAGGGAAAAAUCUUCUCUAUAGAAGAAUUCCAAAUAGCAUAUGUAGAUACUCUCCCCUCCAGGAAGCCGAGCUUAAAUCCACUCUCUUUGAGAGUGGACUGGAUUUAGUGACUCACUUCCAAAGAGUAGAGUAUGGAAAGGGAAAAUAGUAACUUUAUAGGAAAGAAACCCAGCAGGUACCUUGUUAACCAAAUGAUGAAGGUUAACAUCACCGCUGAUAAGUCAUGUUGCUAUCAUUCACCCGCUGAUACGAUCUCAUGAGAAGGGCAAUUCCCGACUGUGGUAUUCUUCAAAUCUAUUGAGUUAUAAGAAAACAUGAGAUAAACCCAAACUGAGGAACAUUCUACAGAAUACAUGACCAGUAUUCUUCAAAGCCCUUAAGGUCAUGAUAAACAAGGGAAGACUAAGAAGUGAUCACAGAUUGGGAUGACUGAGACAUGAUGACAAAAUGCAGAGUGAUAUCUUGGAACAGAAAAAAGACAUUAGUGAGAAAAUUCAAAAAACUCUGAUUAGAGUUGAUAGUUGGGCUAUUAGUUUUAUACCAAUGUGAAUUUCUUAGUUUUGACAAAUAUACGUGAGGGAAAGCUAGGCGAAGGGUAUUCUGGAAAUCUCUACCCUGUACUGUCUUUUCAACUUUUCUAUGAAUCUAAAGCUCUUCCAAAGAUAAGUCUAUUAAAAAAAUAACAAAAACUUCCUCUAAAAUUUAAAGACGGACAAUAUCAGGUGUUGAUAAAUCUGUGGAGAAUUUGGAGCUCAUACAUUGCUGGUGAGAAUGUGAAAUUAUGUAGUUAUUUUGGAAAACAGUUCGGUAGUUCUUAUAAAAUGAAAGAUACAUCACUAAAUGACCCAACGAUUCUACUCCUUGAUAUCUACCCAGUAGGAAGGAAAUGAUGUCCGUACAAAGACUUGUAUACAAAUAUUCAUACCAUUUUUCAUCAUAAUGGCCCAAAACUAGAAACAACUCAAAUGUCCAUCAACAAGUAAUGGGUAAUCAAAUUGCGGUAUAUAUAUACAAUGAAAUAUAACUCAAUAUAAAGUAAGAAACUACUCAUAGAUACAGCAACAUGGAUAUUUCUCAAGUAUAUGCUGAGCAAAAAAAGCCAGACACAGGAGCACAUCCUAUAUGAUUCAAUUUAUACGACAUUUUAGAAAAGGCAAAACUAAUCUCAGAGACAGAAAGCAGGUCUGUGGUUGCCUGGAGCUGCGGAUUGGGGAGGGGAUGAUGGGAGAGAUUGACAAAAGGAGCACAAGGAACCUUUUGGGGUGAUGCUGGUAAUAUAUAUCUUGAUUGUUGUGGUGGUUACAUGGAUGCAUACAUUUGUCAAAAAUCAUUAAACUGUAUACUUCAAAUUUAUUAUAUGUAAAUUAUGCCUUAAUAAAGUUGAUUUUCUGAAAAGCUUUCUUUGAUCCGUUUACCCUGCCAGCUCCCCUUUUGCAAGACUCCUGAAAGAGCUGCUGAUACUCACUGUCUCCACUUCUACCCCAUAUGUUCUUUCUGAAGCCCACCCCAGCCAGGCUUCUAUUCCCAUCAUGCCAUGGAAACCAUUCUCAUCAAGGCGGCAGUGACCUCCGUGUUGCUAAAUCCAAUGAGCACUCACCACUUUCCAGUACAGUAUAUUAUUCAACCUGCUUGUUUAUUUUGUUUACUUUUCAUUGUCUAUCUACUCAAAGGCAGGAAACUGCUUUGUUCACGGCUGUAUCCCAAGUCCUAGAGUAGUGCCUGGCCCGUAGUAGCUGCCCAGUAGGUACUUGUUGAAUGAAGUAAUAAAGUUUCACCAGCAAGAGCAAACUUCCUACCUCUGGCCUAUCAGCCCAGGUCUGAGCAGACUGAUCCAGGAGACGACAGAGAAAAGGUGGAUCUGGAGGGAUCCUGCCCUGUCCCAGGAUUGGGAGAAUUGAGAGAGGCUCCGGAUUCUUCUUCAUUGUCUUUGGUUGUGCCUCGUGACCUCAGACAGACCUGGGCCUCUGGUUCGCUAGGCUGCAGCUGUGUGCUCAGAGCCACUGCCCACCGCUUAACGUCAUAGUUCUCAGGGGACCUUCCAGGAAUACUCAGAGGACAUAUGUCUGUGACUGCACUGUCCAGGGUACCAGCCACUGGCCAUGUGGCUACUGAGUACUUAUUUGGCCAGUCCCAAAUGAGAUGUGUUGAAACUGUAAAAUUUCAAAGACUUAGUACAAA
rnacentral:lncRNA from 10 species